rnacentral:rRNA from 1 species
UUAUAGCAAAGAGGAUACACCUGUUCCCAUCCCGAACACAGAAGUUAAGCUCUUUAGCGCCGAUGGUACUUGGUGGGAAGCUGCCUGGGAGAGUAGGACGUAGCCGCGU